UAACAGUACCGGAAACGGGUGACUAAUACCGCAGUUAGUUUUCUUAGAUCGCAGUGAGUACGGGAAAGGAAAGUACGGCCUUUUGUGCUGUCGCUUAUGGAUGGACCCGCGGCGUAUUAGUUAGUUGGUGAGGUAACGGCUCACCAAGACGAUGAUACGUAGCCGACCUGAGAGGGUGAUCGGCCACAUUGGGACUGAGACACGGCCCAAACUCCUACGGGAGGCAGCAGUAGGGAAUCUUCCGCAAUGGACGAAAGUCUGACGGAGCAACGCCGCGUGAGUGAAAGAAGGUUUUCGGAUCGUAAAACUCUGUUGUCAGAGAAGAACAAGUUGGAGAGUAACUGCUCCAGCCUUGACGGUAUCUGACCAGAAAGCCACGGCUAACUACGUGCCAGCCGCCGC
rnacentral:rRNA from 1 species